rnacentral:rRNA from 1 species
GACGAGUUUGAUCCUGGCUCAGAACGAACGCUGGCGGCAGGCUUAACACAUGCAAGUCGAACGCCCCGCAAGGGGAGUGGCAGACGGGUGAGUAACGCGUGGGAAUCUACCCAACUCUACGGAAUAACUCAGGGAAACUUGUGCUAAUACCGUAUACGCCCUUCGGGGGAAAGAUUUAUCGGAGUUGGAUGAGCCCGCGUUGGAUUAGCUAGUUGGUGGGGUAAAGGCCUACCAAGGCGACGAUCCAUAGCUGGUCUGAGAGGAUGAUCAGCCACACUGGGACUGAGACACGGCCCAGACUCCUACGGGAGGCAGCAGUGGGGAAUAUUGGACAAUGGGCGCAAGCCUGAUCCAGCCAUGCCGCGUGAGUGAUGAAGGCCCUAGGGUUGUAAAGCUCUUUCACCGGUGAAGAUAAUGACGGUAACCGGAGAAGAAGCCCCGGCUAACUUCGUG